GCACUAAUACACAGUAAAUAGUCACCAUAGCGAGACUUCAAAGAAAGCGCGCAAACUAAUUGCCAUUUCAUUGUCUUUUUCUACUGUGAUUAUUUUAAUAUUAUAAAGACCAGAAAAGGUAUAUAAACGCUUUUAGUUCCUGCUUAGUGGGUAGUAUUAAAGUGACUACUGACUUCACCGAUAUACCCGUAUUUACACAGACAUCAAGAAAACUUCAUCAAUUGCAUCAGUUACCAGCUAAAGAUUCAAUACGAGAGUUUAAGAAUGUUGAAGCAUUUUGGUUCAGUCUUGUUGGCUGCCUUGGUUUUACUGUAUGCGGUAUCUAUGAUAGCGUCGGAUUCUGACUCCAACCCCUUUUGUGAAUUGGCGUGCCAAUUUGUCUGCGCUAACAGCACCGAUCCUCUUUGCCAGAGAAGUUGUGAGGCAGGUUGUGGCAGUGGCAGUUCUGGAGAUUGAUUCGUUUUUGCAAUCACAUGAAGCUCCCACUACUUUUCCAGAUAAAUGAAUUAAAAGAAUAAAUUUCAUGAAACAAU